rnacentral:tRNA from 1 species
CAGUGCGUUGCGAGAAAGGGUAAUCGCCCAGCCUUGGAUGCUGGAAUAUGUAGGUUCGAGUCCUACCGUACUGACCA